GAUGAACGCUGGCGGCGUGCCUAAUACAUGCAAGUCGAGCGAACAGACGAGGAGCUUGCUCCUCUUACGUUAGCGGCGGACGGGUGAGUAACACGUAGAUAACCUACCUAUAAGACUGGGAUAACUUCGGGAAACCGGAGCUAAUACCGGAUAAUAUAUUGAACCGCAUGGUUCAAUAGUGAAAGACGGUUUUGCUGUCACUUAUAGAUGGAUCCGCGCCGCAUUAGCUAGUUGGUAAGGUAACGGCUUACCAAGGCAACGAUGCGUAGCCGACCUGAGAGGGGGAUCGGCCACACUGGAACUGAGACACGGUCCAGACUCCUACGGGAGGCAGCAGUAGGGAAUGUUCCGCAAUGGGCGAAAGCCUGACGGAGCAACGCCGCGUGAGUGAUGAAGGUCUUCGGAUCGUAAAACUCUGUUAUUAGGGAAGAACAAAUGUGUAAGUAACUAUGCACGUCUUGACGGUACCUAAUCAGAAAGCAACGGCUAACUACGUG
rnacentral:rRNA from 1 species